rnacentral:misc_RNA from 1 species
GGUUUAUAUACCCAAGUUUGAG